rnacentral:misc_RNA from 1 species
GAUGAAGAACGUAGCGAAAUGCGAUAAGUAAUGCGAAUUGCAGAAUCCGUGAGUCAUCGAAUCUUUGAACGCACAUUGCGCCCCCUGGUAUUCCGGGGGGCAUGCCUGUCCGAGCGUCAUUACAACCCUCAAGCUCAGCUUGGUGUUGGGCCCCGCCGCCCCGGCGGGCCCUAAAGUCAGUGGCGGUGCCGUCCGGCUCCGAGCGUAGUAAUUCUUCUCGCUCUGGAGGUCCGGUCGUGUGCUUGCCAGCAACCCCCAAUUUUUUUCAGGUUGACCUCGGAUCAGGUAGGGAUACCCGCUGAACUUAAGCAUAUCAAUAAGCGGAAGA